UGUACUUUCAUUUUUAAUAAACCCUUGCUUUUGUUCUUUCAUUGCUCCAUUUUUCCCUUGCUUUUCUGUGUGUUUUCUCCAAUUCUUUGUUCAAAAACGCCAAGAACCUAGACAACUUUCAGUCAAAACCCUCUACUGGUAACAUAUUUUGGCAAGCCAGCCAGGAGAGAAGAUCCCUACCUGUGUCUGGGUUGGCAGCAGCAGCAGCUCAUCCAGGGCAAACUCACACGUUUCAGGAUCAAGCCAGCAAUACCAGAAGAUCCGGACCAGGAACCUGAAGUUUCCAUCAGCCACUACACCUGUGAACCUGUGGAAGCCCUGAAGUUCCUGUUUAAAAGACAGCCAAAAGAUGAAGACUAUCAAGCCUCAGAUGAUCAUGCAACAAGGUUUCCAGCCAGUUCCAAGUGAAGACACCACCCCUGGCCAUCAAGAAGCCACCCUAUCUUCACUAGACAGAGUAGGGAGAGAGUUCCAUGAUCUCCAACAGAUAAGGACUACUCCCAAGUCAGCAUGAAGCAGUUACAGAAGAAAGUCCAUCAGUCCCUCUGCCUCCCAUAAAGAUUUAUGGGGAUCACGUCUCUCAGGGAUGAGAUGAGGCAGGAGAACAGGUCUGGAGGAAGGGAACCUAAGGUUGUUUCACAAUGACUUCCUAGAACUAAACUGAAACGAAAACCCUAACUUUCCACACCUAAGUAACAAAAGGACCAGAGACUACUGCCUUUGCAAACCCUCACCUUGUCUGCACAGCAGAUGGGAAAUUAAAAGUGCCUCUGAUUGGUUGGUGUUUUUUUUUUUUUUUUUUUUUGAGUUGGAGUCUUGCUCUGUUACACAGCCUGGAGUGCAAUGGCACACUCUCAGAUCACUGCAGCCUCUGCCUCUCGGUUUCAAGCAAUUCUGCCUCAGCCCCCCGAGUAGCUGGAAUUACAGGCACCUGCCACCACAGCUGUCUAAUUUUUAAAAUAUUUUCAGUAGAGACGGGUUUCGCCAUGUUGGCCAGGCUGGUCUCAAACUCUUGGCCUCAGGAGAUCCGCCCGUCUCCAGCCUCCCAAAGUGCUUGAGCCACUGUGCCUAGCCAACUGGUUGCUUUAUGCAGCCAAUCAGAUGUUUGCACAGGAGUGUGACCUUUGACAUUUCAGCCUCCUAUUGGUUGCUUUCUGCAACCGAUCAGACUGAUUGUGGGCCAACACUUCAUUUACAUGAAGGGAGCACCAAGUAGCCAAUAGGAAACCUCUAGAGGGUAUCUGGACCCCAGAAGAUUCUGUAUCAGGGGCCCUUGAGCUGCUGCUCAGGCUGCUCCCACACUGUGGAGUGUAUUUUCAUUUUCAAUAAAUCCCCACUUUCAUUCUUUUUUUUUUUUUGAGACGGAUGCUCUCUCUGUUGCCCAGCCUGGAGUGCAGUGGCGCCAUCUCUGCUCACUGCAACCUCCACCUCCUGGGUUCAAGCGAUUCUCCUGCCUCAGCCUCCUAAGUCGCUGGGAUUAUAGGCAUUCACCACCACGCCUGGCUAAUUUUUUGUAAUUUUUAGUGGAGAUGGGGUUUUGCCAAGUUGGCCAGGCUGGCCUUGAACUCCUGACCUCAGGUGAUCCACCCGCUUAGCCUCCCAAAGUGCUGGGAUUACAGGCUGGAGCCACUGUGCCUGGAUGCAUUCUUUCAUUGCUUCAUUCUUUUCUUGCUUUGCUGUGCGUUUUGUUCAUUUCUUUGUUCAAAAUGCCAAGAAUCUGGACAACUUGCAGUCAAGACCCUCUACCAGUAACACAACCUCUUCAUGAGAUCCAUGAGGAAGAGGACUUGCCCAGUGGUACACAGAAGAAGUGAAACUAGACAUCACUUCUCCUAAGGCUGAACCUACAGAUUAUAUGAGAGAUGGCCAUGUGGCUCUGCUCCAGGUGGACAUGGGUGACAGAUGCCGCUGUGGCUCUGCUCCUUGGUGGAUGUGGGUGAGAGAUGCUCAUGUAGCUCUGCUCCUUGGUACAUGUGUAGAUGAGAGAUGCCCACGUGGCUCUGGUCCUUGGUGGGUGUGUAGGUGAUGGAUGCCCCUGUGGCUGCGCUCCUUGGUACAUGUGGGUGAGAGACACCCCUGUGGCUCUGCUUCUUGGUGGAUGUGGGUGAGAGAUGCCCCUGUGGCUCUGCUCCUUGGUGGAGGUUUGUGUGGUUGCUCAAGGUAACCACAAUGCCAGCAUGGUAUGCCCUGCAGCAUCACUGGAAAAUAGGAAGGGGCUGCAUAGACCCUUCCAGCAUCAUUCCUUGUCUAUCUUUCUAGCAACCAAGUCCCCUCAACCCCAUUACCCACCUCCUUUUGACUCCUACAGACACACUCCACCAUAAUACAAGAGGUCAACACCCUUAGUCAGUGAAAGGUUAACUCUCCCAGCCACCUCAGUGGCAUAUUCCUUUCAGAUGAGAGUACCUGGCAUCUCCACAUAAAGGAAUUUGGAUGAAAUUCUGGAAGGUCACAGACACAGUGACUGGAAACCAAACCAUAAACAAGAUGGAAGAAGGGAAGGGACAUGUUCCCAAUCAGGUAGACCCCGGCUUGCACCCUGGCCCUGCCACCUCCUGCUGAGAGAACCUCGGCAGGGCCUUAACCUCUCUGGCCUCAGUUUUCUCAUUUGCAAAAUGAAGAUUCAAGAUGAUAAUAAUGAAACUACCUCUCAGUGAAAAACUAUUCACUCAUUGACUAAUCGAUUCAACUACUGAACAAGAUAAAGGCCCUGCCCCUGCCCCCACAGGCACACCCCAUCCGCCUAUGACUAGAGUAAAGGGCAAUCAGCAAAGAAAGAAAUAAACAAGAUGAUAGCAUCAAGUAAUAAUACUAGAUGACAAAAAAAAUCAGGUUAUGGUAACACAAAUUGGGGUGGGUUGCCUUUAGGGGUCUGAUAAGAACUCUCUGAGGAGGUGGGCUUUGACUCUCCCCGGGAGAAACGAGAAACACUUGGGGAAAGAGCCAAUGGAAAAAUUAAACAUGGUCAAGACCAUCAGGCCAUGCUUCCCAGCCGGGGCCUCACAUUGCAGUCCUCUGUGAGCUUUUAAAAAUCCCAACCCCCAGGCCACACUCUAGACAUCUAAAUCUCUCGAGAUGGGACCUAACCAUUGGUACUUAAAAAAAAAACAAAAACCCAGGUGACUAAGAUGUGCAGCCAAGGUUGACAUACAGUGAUGUAAAGUAUCUGACGUACAUAUAAUAAGUGCACACAUACAUAGAAGUGACAAUUAUUAAAGCAAGGCCUCUGUCCUUGAAGAACUCACCUUCUAAGAGUGAUUGGUUAGAAUACUGGAAAUUAGGCUGGGUGCAGUGGCUCAUGCCUGUAAUCCCAGCACUUUAGGGGGCAGAGGUGGGUGCUUGCUUACUUGAGCCCAGGAGUUUGAGACCAGCCUGGGAAACAUGGUGAGAUCCCAUCUCUACAAAAAAUACCAAAUAUUAUCCGGCGCACAUCUGUAGUUCAAGCUACUCAGGAGGCUGAGAUGGGAGGACUGCCAUAGCCCAGGAGGUGGAGGUUGCAGUGAGCUGUGAUCGCGCCACUGCACUUCAGCCUGGGCGACAGAGCGAGACCCUGUCUCAAAAAAAAAAGUAAAAUAAAAACUAGAAAUUAUUACCAGCUUACUAUUAACGGCAAGGAUCUGGGCCUUGAAAUAAUAUGGCCCAGUACAACCUACCAGUCUUGCUUGUGUGUGGUGGGUAUGGGUGUUGUUGGGGACCAGCCAUGUAUCUAAAGCCUGGGGUGUGUGUGUGUGUGUGUGUGCCCUGAGUGUUAAAAGUGCAUAUGAGGCAGGAGAAUAGGGCCUGGAGGCAGGGAACCUAAAGACUUCCCAGAACUCGAUCAAACUGAAACACUUUAGCUAUGACAAGAAAUAUCCUCUUUAUUUACAUGGUAAAUGACUUUGUAACUUUACUUCGUCCUCUUCAUUUACAUAGAGUGUACACCAAGUAAAUAACUUUGUAACUUCAGUUUAACCUCCUCAUUCUAGCCAUACACCACAUAACCAAUGGAAACCUCUAGAGGGUAUUUAAACCCCAGAAAAUUCUGUAACCGGGCCCUUGAGCCGCUUGCUUGGGCCCCCUCCCA
rnacentral:lncRNA from 10 species